ensembl:lncRNA
CACAUCUGUCUCCACAGCCGUGACCGCCUGGUACCCGGCCGCUGGCUUUUCUGAUGUCAUCUCAGAUUCAAAUGAUCCAGAACUGAGGUCACCCACCCUCCGCCUGGCGUCUCUUCUGCUCCUGUCGGGAAAAGCACGCUUCCAGACCCUGGAGCAGGGCCUUGGGGGGACCUCUGCCUUCCCGGCCUCCGGCCCUGCGGCCGUCAUCCGGCUCCGAAGGCCUCUUCCUCUGACUCAGGAUUUCACAGUCAUCGCUCACAAACGUGACCCAAGCUAAAGGACCUUCAAAAAGGAGCACUGAACCCCAAACGGCAGCAAUCGGGGAGUCCCACCUGCAGGCAGAGCCCAGCCGGGACACCGGCCCGGCGCCCAGGCCCCACAGAGGCCACGCCUGGUGCCUGCUCCUGGGCCAGGGCUCGGAGCCGCGCUUGCCCGGCAUUCGCUCCUCGGCUCCCAAGGCCCCCACCCCUCCCCACACUGCCCCACAAGAGGCCCUACCUUGGCCCUGGGACCUCAGUGUAACUUUCAGAGCCCAGCUCGGGCCCUGGGGGUCCCCCUGAAGGUCAGCGGCACCCACGGCAGGGACAAGGGCGUGGCCAGGAGCUCAGGCCCCAGAGCCACACAACCCGUGUGCUGCGCCAGGCCCUGGGUUGGAGCAGCGAGCAGUGAUAUAGACCCACGGACCAGCAGCUCUCAGACGCCCACCCAGACUCUCGCCGUAACCACAUCAUCUCGACAGCGGCCUGUGCGCAAGGAGACCCCAGGGAGCGCGUGGGCGCGUGACCAGGGACGGAAGCCGUUAGCCCACCUCCCGUGGUGGUCAGAGACUUAUUUAAGGACAGUGUCUGCCACGUCACGUCACUGUCCUUUGGGGACCAGCCGUUCUGGCCGCUCCGUCUUCCCUACCUGGGUGUGCAUGGGUGAGUGGGGGUGGGGACCAGCGUGGCCUGGGUGGCAUUCUGCACAGCGACGGGAGGUAAUGAGAGACACCGAAGUGCACACACACGAAACGACACCCACACAGUGCGUUAAAAGAAUGCACGACUCUUUAGGGAUCUAUAUAAAACACCCACACUGGGCCUGGGGGCACGGGUCAGAGGACCGCUGGGAAAAAUCAAAGAUCCAACAAAGCAAGAGAGGAGCCCGGUAACUACCUGUCCUGAGAAACAGGGUGGAUUACAUCUUCCGUCCUGGGGUCCCCGCAGAAAGAGCAAGAGCAAAAGCCAUGUGACCAAGCAAGUGCCUCCAUGUCGCACUGGACAGUGGGUGGUGGCCUUUCAAGGCCGGCCCAUAGCGCCAGGCUGAGAGCCUUCAUGACAGAAACGAGGCUGGAAAGACAGGGAUGGGGGAGGGGGGUCUGUCAGGAGGAAAACGAGGCAGAAAGCGCAAAAGAACAGCCCCGGGACAGUGGGGGAUGGUCCUGGGCGUCUAUAAACACGUGCCCUGAAGAUGGUUGACCCUACAAGAUGAAGGCCACAUUUCCAGCGCUUCGCAGAAGGUUCUUGGGGCCUCCCGUCUUGGCUCAGCGUUAGUGAAUCCGACUCGUAUCCAUGAGGAUGCAGGUUCGAUCCCUGGCCUCCCUCAGUGGGUUAAGGAUCUGGCAUUGCCGUGAGCUGUGGCGUAGGUUGCAGACACGGCUCAGAUCCUGCGUGGCUGUGGCUGUGGUGGAGGCCGGCAGCUGCAGCUCCGAUGUGACUCCUAACCUGGGAACCUCCACAUGCCGUGGGUUUGGCCCUAACAAGCAAAAAACAACAAAG